AGAGUUUGAUCAUGGCUCAGAACGUACGCUGGCGGCACGCCUAACACAUGCAAGUCGAACGAAGUAGCAAUACUUAGUGGCAGACGGGUGAGUAACAUGUGGGUAUCUGCCCUUUGGCCUGGAAUAACACGAGGAAACUUGUGCUAAUACCGGAUAAGUCUUUACGGAGAAAGCUUUAUGCACCAUUGGAUGAGCCCGCACUUGAUUAGUUUGUUGGUGGGGUAAUGGCCUACCAAGACUGUGAUCAAUAGCUGAUUUGAGAGGAUGAUCAGCCACAUUGGGACUGAGACACGGCCCAAACUCCUACGGGAGGCAGCAGUGGGGAAUCUUGCACAAUGGAGGAAACUCUGAUGCAGCGAUGCCGCGUGAGUGAAGAAGGCCUUUGGGUUGUAAAGCUCUUUCGUCGGGGAAGAAAAUGACUGUACCCGAAUAAGAAGGUCCGGCUAACUUCGUGCCAGCAGCCGCGGUAAU
rnacentral:rRNA from 1 species